rnacentral:rRNA from 1 species
GUGUAUGGAAUGUCAAAUUUCUAGUAUGAGAAAUUAACGAUUUAAGUCCUUCUUAAAUGAGGCCAUUUACCCAAAGAGGGUGCCAGGCCCGUAUAACGUUAAUGAUUACUAGAUGGCAUUUCCAAAGAGUCGUGUUGCUUGAUAGUGCAGCACUAAGUGGGUGGUAAACUCCAUCUAAAACUAAAUAUAACCAUGAGACCGAUAGUAAACAAGUACCGUGAGGGAAAGUUGAAAAGAACUCUGAAUAGAGAGUUAAAUAGUACGUGAAACUGCUUAGAGGUUAAGCCCGAUGAACCUGAAUAUCCGUUAUAGGAAAUUCAUCAUUAUGAUUUUAAUAUUUGUAAUAUUAUAAUAAUGGUGUGCAUUUUUUCUAUAAAAGGACAUUGUAAUCUAUUAACAAAAAUUAAAUUUAUCAUAAGAUCAUUUGCGCAAGUUUAUUCAAAUUAUUUUGUUUGCAAUUUAAUAUCGAGUAAAUGCAAAAGAUUUGAUAAAGUGUUGAUAGAUUAAUAAUAUAUAGUGCUUAAAUAUUUUUUAAAUAUUUUAUAAUAGCAUAUAAAUCAUUGAUUUGUUAUGUUAAUUAUAUGCACUUAUAUGAUUAACAAUGCGAAAGAUUCAGGAUACCUUCGGGANCCGUCUUGAAACACGGACCAAGGAGUCUAACAUAUUUGCAAGUUAUUGGGAUACAAAAACCUA